rnacentral:rRNA from 1 species
CUGCCGCAGCAGCGACGGGGUAAUACGGGGAGCAGUGUUGUCGGAUUUACUGGGCGUAAAGGGCGCGUAGGCGGUCGUGACAAGUCACUUGUGAAAUCUCCGGGCUUAACUCGGAACGGUCAAGUGAUACUGUCGGACUAGAGUACAGAAGGGGCAACUGGAAUUCUCGGUGUAGCGGUGAAAUGCGUAGAUAUCGAGAGGAACACCUGCGGCGAAGGCGGGUUGCUGGGCUGACACUGACGCUGAGGCGCGAAAGCCAGGGGAGCGAACGGG